GACGAACGCUGGCGGCGUGCUUAACACAUGCAAGUCGAACGGAAAGGCCCUGCUUGCAGGGUCCUCGAGUGGCGAACGGGUGAGUAACACGUGGGUGAUCUGCCCUGCACUUCGGGAUAAGCCUGGGAAACUGGGUCUAAUACCGGAUAGGAGCCAUUUUUAGUGUGAUGGUUGGAAAGUUUUUUCGGUGUAGGAUGAGCUCGCGGCCUAUCAGCUUGUUGGUGGGGUAAUGGCCUACCAAGGCGGCGACGGGUAGCCGGCCUGAGAGGGUGGACGGCCACAUUGGGACUGAGAUACGGCCCAGACUCCUACGGGAGGCAGCAGUGGGGAAUAUUGCACAAUGGGCGCAAGCCUGAAGCAGCGACGCCGCGUGGGGGAGGACGGCCUUCGGGUUGUAAACUCCUUUCGCUAGGGACGAAGCUUUUUGUGACGGUACCUAGAUAAGAAGCACCGGCUAACUACGUG
rnacentral:rRNA from 1 species